CGGUAACAGGUCUUCGGAUGCUGACGAGUGGCGAACGGGUGAGUAAUACAUCGGAACGUGCCCGAUCGUGGGGGAUAACGGAGCGAAAGCUUUGCUAAUACCGCAUACGAUCUACGGAUGAAAGCAGGGGACCGCAAGGCCUUGCGCGGACGGAGCGGCCGAUGGCAGAUUAGGUAGUUGGUGGGAUAAAAGCUUACCAAGCCGACGAUCUGUAGCUGGUCUGAGAGGACGACCAGCCACACUGGGACUGAGACACGGCCCAGACUCCUACGGGAGGCAGCAGUGGGGAAUUUUGGACAAUGGGCGAAAGCCUGAUCCAGCCAUGCCGCGUGCAGGAUGAAGGCCUUCGGGUUGUAAACUGCUUUUGUACGGAACGAAAAGACUCCUUCUAAUAAAGGGGGUCCAUGACGGUACCGUAAGAAUAAGCACCGGCUAACUACGUGCCAGCAGCCGCGGUAAUACGUAGGGUGCAAGCGUUAAUCGGAAUUACUGGGCGUAAAGCGUGCGCAGGCGGUUAUAUAAGACAGAUGUGAAAUCCCCGGGCUCAACCUGGGAACUGCAUUUGUGACUGUAUAGCUAGAGUACGGCAGAGGGGGAUGGAAUUCCGCGUGUAGCAGUGAAAUGCGUAGAUAUGCGGAGGAACACCGAUGGCGAAGGCAAUCCCCUGGGCCUGUACUGACGCUCAUGCACGAAAGCGU
rnacentral:rRNA from 1 species